CUCGAUGUAGACGCGCUGCGCUCCUUCCCGGCUGAUGUGGCGCGUCCUCAGCCAGUUGUUCUGGUUGGCCUCCAUGACGUUACACACCUGAUGGAGAACAAGAAAAAGAAGUGGGGCUAAAGUGAAGGAAGAUGAUAGAAAGCAGGGAGGCAGAUGGAGAGGAUGUUAAUCAGCGGAGAAAAGAUUGGAGCGCUGGUCAGCAAACAUUCCAUAUCUACGUCUGACCCAAACCCUCGGGUGUUUGUUUGUAAUGCCGGAUAAUGCAGCCUUUCACAGCCGCGGCACGAGCCAAACCAGCAGAGCAAACGAGACUAAAACGGAGAGAGAGAGGAAGAG